GCUGUAACUCAUCUCCACAAAUCCCGUGGCUUAAAGCAACCAAAGCUGAUUCUCUUACAGUUCUGGAGCCCAGAAGUGCAGAACCGGUUUCCCCGGGCUGGACUCACAGUCUGAACAGCCCGGCUCUCCUGAGCCCCUGGAGCAGCCCUUUCCUCGGUUCAUCCAGCUCUGGGGGCUGCCGCUGCUCCUGGGCUGCAGGUCACACACCACCCCCCCAACCCCACACCCUGUGAUCAUCGCCUCGCCUCCUUCUCUUCUGGAGUCUGAUAGCCUUCUGUGUCCCUCUUAGGGAGGCACUUAGUAUCAUUUAGGGCAACCAGUCUUUUAGGAUGAAAGACUCCUUCGAGCUGCUAAUGCCUGGAACCGACUUAGACAUGGGUGUCUGUGCCCCCUGCCCCGAGUGUGUGGGAAUGUGCUCUACGCAGAGGCUCCCAAAGGGCCGGAAACCUGGGCCCGGAAGCAACUUCGGUCAAGAUUUCAAGCUCCCCAGGAAUUGCCUGGUAGCUGAGCUGGUAAAGAAUCCACCUGCAAUGCAGGGGACCUGGG
ensembl:lncRNA